GAUGAACGCUGGCGGCGUGCCUAAUACAUGCAAGUCGAGCGAACAGACGAGGAGCUUGCUGCUCUGACGAUUGACGCGGACGGAUCAGUCCCCCCUGGAUAGCCUAACUAUAAGAAUGGGAUACUUUUAGGUAACCGUAGCUAAUUACGGCUACUAUAUUUUAUCGAAUGGUUCAAUAGUGUAAGACGGCUUUGCUUCCCCUUAUCGAUGGAUCCGCGUAGCAGUUGCUCAUUGGUAAGGUAACUUCUUACCCAGGCAACGAUGCGUAGCCGACCUGAGAGGAUGAUCGGCCACACUGGGACUGAGACACGCGACAGACUGCUACAGGAGGGAGCAGUAGGGAAUCUGCCGCAAUGAGCGAAAACCUGACGAAGCAGCGCCACGUGAGUGAUGAAGGUCUUCUGAUCGUAAGACUCUGUUAUUAGGGAAGAACAAAUGUGUAAGUAACGAUGCACAUCAUGACGGUACCUAAUCAGAAAGCCACGGCUAACUACGUG
rnacentral:rRNA from 1 species